CCAUAGUCCUUUCUAAUGCUGCAAAAUGAUUUCCUCGUUUUGGAGUUUCGCUUAAGGACUAAAUUAAUUCGAUUUUUACCACCAAUUUCCUUUGGCUGUAGGAAAUUGGUAAAAAAAAUUGGAACAAUU
rfam:Dendroctonus ponderosae Seq01001806, whole genome shotgun sequence.